CAAAUUAAAUCUAAUGUUUAGUAUUUCAUUUACAAUGAAAUUAUAAUUGUUAAUUCAAUUUAAUUUGA
rnacentral:tRNA from 1 species